ACGGAGGGUGCAAGCGUUAAUCGGAAUCACUGGGCGUAAAGCGCUCGUAGGCUGUUUGGUCAGUCAGACGUGAAAGCCCACGGCUCAACCGUGGAACUGCGUUUGAUACUGACAGACUUGAGUGUCGGAGAGGGUAGCGGAAUUCCGGGUGUAGGGGUGAAAUGCGUAGAUAUGCGGAAGAACACCAGUGGCGAAGGCAGCCACCUGGAUGACAACUGACGCUGAGGAGCGAAAGCGUGGGUAGCAAACAG
rnacentral:rRNA from 1 species